ensembl:lncRNA
UGAGAACUGAAUUGAAUAUGGAAAUAUGCAGGUAAAGAUUUAUAAAUUAGAGAUUUAUUUUUGUAAUUUAACUGUAAAAUAAAUAUAUAAAUAAAAUGUUUACAUUAAAAAGUCAUCAAAAGUAGUAACUGAAUUAACAAACCAGAAUUAAGUGUUAUUGAAUUAAAUAAUAAUAAUAAUAAUAAUAAAAACCUACUACACUAAUUUUUAGGUGACAAAGAGUGCCUGUACACAAUGCUUACUAAAGAAGAAACUAGAAAAAUAGCUCUUUUCUGUCGACCAGGCAUCUGUCCACUAAAUCCAGUUGGGAGGAUGGUGAUCGUAAGGGCUUUCUUGAUGAAGGUUGCAUGAAGAUCUUGAGAAAAAUGCAACAAUAUAAUUCUCACCACCUUGGAUUAGAAAGAAACAACCAGGAACUGCUGGAAAAAAAGAGGGACACUCCAGAUUCUGACUGUCACCACGAGAACUGCAAAUAUGUGCUCCAAACAAAACGUGGCUCAGAAUUUCAAAACCCUAACAUUCUAGGAGGCAUAUCUGCAGCUGCAAGCCGCUGACAAACUCCAUCUUGUACAUCUGAGCCUGCAGAGAAGGGCGAGAGCGGUGAUAGAAUAUUGAUGCUCCUCUGGCAUGGGCCUCAUUCAAACCAAAUAGCUUUAUGUUAUUGUGACUGAUACAAUUUCACCGCGUGUACCUGCAUUAAAUUGACAUUCCCAACUUUACUUGGUGCUCUGUGCAUUUUUAAUGCCAAAAUAUGACAGCAUAAGAACAAAUGCUGGUCUAAACCUCCAGCUGGAAGGUUG